rnacentral:rRNA from 1 species
UUCAGAAUCUUGCACAAUGGACGAAAGUCUGAUGCAGCCAUGCCGCGUGUGCGAAGAAGGCCCUCGGGUCGUAAAGCACUGUCAGAGGGAAAGAUCAUGACGGUACCCUCAAAGGAAGCCACGGCUAAUUACGUGCCAGCAGCCGCGGUAAUACGUAAGUGGCGAGCGUUAUCCGGAAUUACUGGGCGUAAAGCGUUCGUAGGCGGUGCAGUAAGUUGGGUUUGAAAGCCCGGGGCUCAACUCCGGACCCGGAUCCAAAACUACUGCGCUGGAGCAUAUCAGGGGGCAGCGGAAUUCCCGGUGUAGCGGUAAUAUGCGUAGAUAUCGGGAGGAACACCAGUGGCGAAGGCGGCUGCCUGGGGUAUUGCUGACGCUGAGGAACGAAGGCCAGGGGAGCGAACGG